rnacentral:misc_RNA from 1 species
AACGCAAAUGGCGUUAGCGCGAAAUCGCUAGCAUGCCUGUCUGAGUGUCAUUUUUCUUCCAUCUUGCUCUUUGAAGUUUGUUCUUUAAAGCAAGCAAUCUUGAGGUUUUGUCACGAGGAGAAAACGCCCCCGUUUUUUUUAAUAAAAAAAGAGGGUUUCUUCUUGCGUCCCUUAAAACUUGGCGAUGGCUUUUCAAAUUCUUUGGAGCUCUUUCUUUUUUUUUUUUAAAAACCCUCCCUUUUCUUUCCAGCUUUUUCUUGCAUGUUGCCAUGUACUUUGUGUUCAUCUACAUGUGAUAAAAGAGCAGGAAACUUUCUUGUUUAUGUAUUCGGGAUUAUGAAGCAAAUGCGGUUUUUUUGGGUCUAAAGCAUGAAAAGGCGCGUUGGAAAAAAAACCAAAAACAACUUUGACCUCAGAUCAGACAAGACGACCCGCUGAAUUUAA